rnacentral:ncRNA from 1 species
AAAGGCUUGGUCCUGACUUUUCUAUCGGCUUCAGCUAAAUUUACACAUGCAAGUAUCCGCACCCCCGUGAGAAUGCCCUACAGUUCCCCUCCCCGGGAACAAGGAGCUGGUAUCAGGCACAUUUAAUUCACCGCCCACGACACCUUGCUCAGCCACACCCCCAAGGGAAUUCAGCAGUGAUAAACAUUAAGCUAUAAGUGAAAACUUGACUUAGUUACAGCUAUAAGGGCCGGUAAAACUCGUGCCAGCCACCGCGGUUAUACGAGAGGCCCAAGUUGAUAGACAUCGGCGUAAAGAGUGGUUAAGUAACCCACCCCAACUAAAGCCGAACGCCUCCAAGACUGUAAUACGUGUUCGGAGGUAUGAAGCCCAACUACGAAAGUGGCUUUAAAAAAGCUGACCCCACGAAAGCUGGGAAACAAACUGGGAUUAGAUACCCCACUAUGCUCAGCCCUAAACUUCGAUAGCCUGACUACACUCGCUAUCCGCCCGGGUACUACGAGCUUCGGCUUAAAACCCAAAGGACUUGGCGGUGCUUAAGAUCCACCUAGAGGAGCCUGUUCUAGAACCGAUACUCCCCGUUAAACCUCACCCUUUCUUGUUCUUACCGCCUAUAUACCGCCGUCGUCAGCUUACCCUGUGAAGGACUAGUAGUAAGCAAAAUUGGUAUGGCCCAAAACGCCAGGUCGAGGUGUAGCGUAUGAAAGGGGAAGAAAUGGGCUACAUUUCCUAAACAGGAAAUACGAACAAUAAGCUGAAAUAUGUAUUAGAAGGAGGAUUUAGCAGUAAAUGAAAAAUAGAGUGUUUCAUUGAAUCCGGCCCUAAAGCGCGCACACACCGCCCGUCACUCUCCCCAAGAUACAAUUUCUUAUAUUUAAUUACCCAAGUAAACACAAGGGGAGGCAAGUCGUAACAUGGUAAGUGUACCGGAAGGUGCACUUGGA